GCUGGCGGCGCGCCUAACACAUGCAAGCCGCACGAGAAAGCGGGAGCAAUCUCGCAAGUAAAGUGGCGUACGGGUGAGUAACACGUGGAUCAUCUGCCCUGGAGUGGGGAAUAACGCUGGGAAACCGGCGCUAAUACCGCAUAUACCCGAGAGGGGAAAGCAGCAAUGCGCUCGAGGAGGAGUCCGCGGCCGAUUAGCUAGUUGGCAGGGUAAAAGCCUACCAAGGCUGUGAUCGGUAGCCGGCCUGAGAGGGCACACGGCCACACUGGCACUGAAACACGGGCCAGACUCCUACGGGAGGCAGCAGUGGGGAAUCUUGCACAAUGGGGGAAACCCUGAUGCAGCGACGCCGCGUGAGCGAUGAAGCCCUUCGGGGUGUAAAGCUCUUCCGGCAGGGAAGAUUAUGACGGUACCUGCAGAAGCAGCUGCGGCUAACUACGUGCCAGCAGCCGCGGUAAUACGUAGGCAGCAAGCGUUGCUCGGAGUUACUGGGCGUAAAGGGUGUGUAGGUGGCGCGCUAAGUUCCGUGUGAAAUCUCCCGGCUCAACCGGGAGGGUGCGCGGAAAACUGGCAGGCUAGAGUACGGGAUGGGAGAGUAGAAUUCCUGGUGUAGCGGUGAAAUGCGUA
rnacentral:rRNA from 1 species